UGUCGCUAUUGGCGCGGUCACACUGAAAUUAAACUGAAUAAUUUAAAUUAUAAAUAAAAACUGGACACGAGAGUUAAUUGCAUGGUGAAAGAAGCAACACAAAUAAUAACAAAUUAAAACUCAACAAAGAAGACGCAGAAAAAAUGAUGGUAACAAUGCGGUUCGUAUGUUGCCGGAGGAGCAGCAUGUGCUCCAGGAAAAGGGCAGCUCCUCGUUGAUCUAGGCCAGGACAACAAACAUCAACGAGAGCUAUACGCUGCAUAAGAUUCUGUCCAGCAAGAUGGACUCGCUGGACUCACUGAUUAUGGUCGAUAAAGUUCCUUAUUCCACGUUCGAAAUUGGUUGCGGCCUGGACAAGCAGAUUGAGGGGAUCAAGGAAGGCAGACCUUCGGGCACGGAAAGGCCUUACCGGCCAGGCCGUGUCCAUCACACCGUAUGCACCUUCAUGCAUGUACGGGUCGGAGCUGGUCUAAAAAAUCAUCGGCGAUGAUUUCGGCAUUACCCGCAAAAAUGUGCCUUGCAUUAUCUUCAUUUACGAAAUCUAUACCUUGGCUUGUCGCGUGUUGAUCCAGCGGUGCUUCCGACCAUGGUGUAGCUGCUCAACCAACCAGAUGGCUUUGAGGCCACCAAUAACAUCAAUCAGAUUGACAUCCUGGGUCCCGAGUUGUUGCGAACCGGUCGCAUAGAUCGAACGAGGAGGCCCCUCCCGCAGGAUGAACCUUUCGCGUAGCCUUCAUCUCCGAAAGAUCACCGAACUGAUGCCAGGCGCAUCGCAGGACUCGGAAAAUAACAUUUCUAUUAAGAAGCCUUUAAAGUAGGCUUUAUGCAACGCAUCACAAAAAGUAAAAUUCAUAAACUAUUAAAUUUUGAGUAUAAAUAAAUGGAUUUUUAUAAACGAAA